ACGGGUGAGUAACGCGUGGGAAUCUACCGUACCCUACGGAAUAGCUCUGGGAAACUGGAAGUAAUACCGUAUACGCCCUAACGGGGAAAGAUUUAUCGGGGUAUGAUGAGCCCGCGUUGGAUUAGCUAGUUGGUGGGGUAGAGGCCUACCAAGGCGACGAUCCAUAGCUGGUCUGAGAGGAUGAUCAGCCACAUUGGGACUGAGACACGGCCCAAACUCCUACGGGAGGCAGCAGUGGGGAAUAUUGGACAAUGGGGGCAACCCUGAUCCAGCCAUGCCGCGUGAGUGAUGAAGGUCUUAGGAUUGUAAAGCUCUUUCAACGGUGAAGAUAAUGACGGUAACCGUAGAAGAAGCCCCGGCUAACUUCGUGCCAGCAGCCGCGGUAAUACGAAGGGGGCUAGCGUUGUUCGGAAUUACUGGGCGUAAAGCGCACGUAGGCGGGUAUUUAAGUCAGGGGUGAAAUCCCGCAGCUCAACUGCGGAACUGCCUUUGAUACUGGGUAUCUUGAGUAUGGAAGAGGUAAGUGGAAUUGCGAGUGUAGAGGUGAAAUUCGUAGA
rnacentral:rRNA from 1 species